AGUGAACGCUGGCGGUAGGCCUAACACAUGCAAGUCGAACGGCAGCACAGUAAGAGCUUGCUCUUACGGGUGGCGAGUGGCGGACGGGUGAGGAAUACAUCGGAAUCUACUUUUUCGUGGGUGAUAACGUAGGGAAACUUACGCUAAUACCGCAUACGACCUACGGGUGAAAGCAGGGGAUCUUCGGACCUUGCGCGAUUGAAUGAGCCGAUGUCGGAUUAGCUAGUUGGCGGGGUAAAGGCCCACCAAGGCGACGAUCCGUAGCUGGUCUGAGAGGAUGAGCAGCCACACUGGAACUGAGACACGGUCCAGACUCCUACGGGAGGCAGCAGUGGGGAAUAUUGGACAAUGGGCGCAAGCCUGAUCCAGCCAUACCGCGUGGGUGAAGAAGGCCUUCGGGUUGUAAAGCCCUUUUGUUGGGAAAGAAAAGCAGCAGGUUAAUACCCCGCUGUUCUGACGGUACCCAAAGAAUAAGCACCGGCUAACUUCGUG
rnacentral:rRNA from 1 species